UAUCUUCAGGGCAGGGUGCAAUUCCCGACCGGCGGUAUAAGAGAUGGUGAUAGCGCAUCUCCUGAGUCCGCGAGCCGCAAGGCAUGAUCCGGUGCGAUCCCGGGACCGACAGUAUAGUCUGGAUGGAAGAAGAUG
rnacentral:ncRNA from 1 species